CAUAUCAAUAAGCGGAGGAAAAGAAAAUAACAAUGAUUCCCCUAGUAACUGCGAGUGAAGAGGGACAAGCUCAAAUUUUAAAUCCAUCGGGUUUUACCUGAUCGAGUUGUAAUUUGAAGAAGCGUUUUCUGCGUAUUUGAUCAGCCUAAGUCCUAUUGAAUGAGGCAUCACGGAGGGUGAUAAUCCCGUCCGGUUGAUCAUUUGCGUUUUACGAUACGCUUUCUAAGAGUCAAGUUGUUUGGGAUUGCAGCUUAAAAUGGGAGGUAAAUUUCUCCUAAGGCUAAAUAACGGCGAGAGACCGAUAGCGAACAAGUACCGUGAGGGAAAGAUGAAAAGAACUUUGAAAAGAGAGUUAAACAGUACGUGAAAUUGUUGAAAGGGAAACGAUUGAAGCCAGUCGUACCUUCGGGUAAUCAGCCUUUCGGGUGCGAUUCUGUGGAGUUUGAGGAGCUUUAACACCUUCAUGCUUUGCAUAUUCGUGCUCUUGGGUGUACUUGCCCGUGUGGUUGGUUAACAUCAAUUUCGGGCACCAUAAAAUGGCUGGAGGAAUGUAGCUUCGAUCUUGUAUUGAAGUGUUAUAGCCUUCGGUAGAUGUGGUGAUCGAGAUUGAGGAUUGCAACGGAUACCUUNCGGGGCUACCUGUCUGAUCUCUGAUCGUUGCUUUGGUGCUGAAAGCGUGCUUAUAGUUAUCAAAGUCGAUGGUUAAUAGGUUAGAAUGGGUUAAAUUCGUUAAGGAUGUUGACGUAAUGGCUUUAAACGACCCGUCUUGAAACACGGACCAAGGAGUCUAACAUAUAUGCGAGUGUUAGGGUGAUUAAACCCU
rnacentral:rRNA from 1 species